AACGUAGGGGACAAGCGUUAUCCGGAUUUACUGGGCGUAAAGCGCCCGUAGGCGGCCUGACAAGUUGGACGUGAAAGCUCCUGGCUUAACUGGGAGAGGCCGUUCAAAACUGUCAAGCUAGAGUCUGGAAGAGGAGAGCGGAAUUCCCGGUGUAGUGGUGGAAUGCGUAGAGAUCGGGAGGAACACCCGUAGCGAAGGCGGCACUCUGGGCCGGUACUGACGCUGAGGAGCGAAAGCUAGGGGAGCAAACGGG
rnacentral:rRNA from 1 species